AAACGAAUUUAUUUUAUAAGCAUGUAGAUGGCGCUGAGAAUUUUCAAAUGUUUUCAGAAUUCUACGUUUGUUGUUUAGUUUUUGAAUCACGUUUGUUGCAUACAACAAAUAAUUACAAAAAUUUGUAAAUUUCAUCCACAUCUGUGUUCUGUGGUCUAUACCAUUUACACGUCCAACCUUUGGUAUCAUGGUGGUUAUAUGAACACGAUAGUUUACUAAAUACAAGGUACGGAGUGGAUACGUCGUCCUCUAUUAUCAUUUUUGAUUGAAGCAGGAUUGAGGUUAAGUUGAGGAGUUUCAGGCAGGUCGAAAUAAAUAACCACUUAGGAAAAGUACAAGGUGUUUUCCAGUUAUAAAGAGACAACAACAAAAAGUUAUAAAGCUUUUGAUGUGACUUUGAGAGAAACAACAAUAGACAAGAAGGUCUUAUGUGCAGUGAAACUAAGGAUACAUCUAAAUAGUUUGACAUUUGAAUACAAAUAAUUAUUCAUUAGUUAAUUGAUUAUACUUCUAUUGCUGACAUCUAUCAUUAAUCUGAUGUUAGAGUGAAAGGGGGAGCAUAUAAACAAGGUAUUUUGAUAUUAAUCUUAAUUAAGUGCUGAAGAAGUACCUUUUAAAUUUACAAAGAUAUAAAUUUACUGCAAAAGGGUUAAGUGAUGUUAAGGUGAUUAAACACUAAACAUUAAAAGUCUAGUAAUGACUAGUAAAUCACAAAGCAAUUUAACAAUGAACCUUAAAGAGCAAAUAAAGAACAGGAUGUUAAGUUUUAAGACUAAAACUUUGAUUGAGGAUAAACCAUUUGAUGAAGAUGAUUUACCCACUUUUAAAGUCACAUCUGUUAAUGCUAUUAAAAAAAGAAAACUCUCUGAGGAGUUAACUGCUGAUUUGCCAAAGAAAAGCAAAAUUGAAGACAUCACAUAUUUCUUAUUAAUGCCUGAAGAAGAGUCACCACAAGAAGGAAGGCUGAACUAUGACUUUAAUAUAUUAGUCAAAGAUGUAAAGACUAUGAAGUUGCCUUCACCUGAGUGGAGGAUAAAGAUUAUGAUAAAGAAGCAAGCAAUAACUGGCAUUGUGUUUACUGACAAGAAAGAAUCUGAAAGAUCAGUUACAUUCAGUUCAAAGUUAGAUACCUAUAAAAUAUCUAUUGAUAAAAAAACUGUCAUUUUAUUAGGUUCUCCCCCAACUAUAAACUCUAUACAAGAUGUAGAAUCAUUGUUAGAAAUCAUGGAACAUAUCAGUUCUGAUGAUCCAAUGCUACUAUAUAAGUAAUAUUAGUAGACACCCUGUAAGACACAUUAUGUGAAAUCUUAAUUUAUUGUACAUGUUUUGAAUAAACUUUUAAUUAAUA